GACGAACGCUGGCGGCGUGCUUAACACAUGCAAGUCGAACGGAAAGGCCUGCUUUCCCUUGUGGAUUGCGGGUACUCUAGUGGCCAACGGGUGAGUAACACGUGAUUGAUCUGCCCCCAACUUGUGUAUAAGCCUGGGAUACUCGGUCUAAUUCCCGAUAGUACUGCAGGGUGGUGCCUGUCGUGGAAAACGAUUUUCUAGUGUUUGGGGAUGAGCUCGCGGCCUAUCAGCUUGUUGGUGGGGUAAUGGCCUACCACGGCGGCGACGGGUAGCCGGCGUGAGAGGGUGGACGGCGACAUUGAGACUGGGAUACGGCCCAGACUGCUACGGGAGGCAGCAGUGGGGAAUAUUGGACCAUGAGCGGAAGCCUGAUGCAGCGAGGCGGUGUGGGGGAUGAUGGGGUUGGGGUUGUAAACUGCUGUGGAACAAGAGGAAGAGACCUGGUUGGAAGGGUGGUGACGGUAGUGGUAGAAGAAGCACCGGCUAACUACGUG
rnacentral:rRNA from 1 species